AUUGAACGCUGGCGGCAGGCCUAACACAUGCAAGUCGAGCGGAUGAAGGGAGCUUGCUCCUGGAUUCAGCGGCGGACGGGUGAGUAAUGCCUAGGAAUCUGCCUGGUAGUGGGGGAUAACGUCCGGAAACGGGCGCUAAUACCGCAUACGUCCUGAGGGAGAAAGUGGGGGAUCUUCGGACCUCACGCUAUCAGAUGAGCCUAGGUCGGAUUAGCUAGUUGGUGGGGUAAAGGCCUACCAAGGCGACGAUCCGUAACUGGUCUGAGAGGAUGAUCAGUCACACUGGAACGGAGACACGGUCCAGACUCCUACGGGAGGCAGCAGUGGGGAAUAUUGGACAAUGGGCGAAAGCCUGAUCCAGCCAUGCCGCGUGUGUGAAGAAGGUCUUCGGAUUGUAAAGCACUGUAAGUUGGGAGGAAGGGCAGUAAGUUAAUACCUUGCUGUUUUGACGUUACCAACAGAAUAAGCACCGGCUAACUUCGUG
rnacentral:rRNA from 1 species